UAGUACACUUAAAUUUAAUUUAUAAAUACUAGAAUAUUAAAAGUUAUAUUCUUUAAAUUUAAAAAAUUUGGCGGUGUUUUAGUCUAGUUAGAGGAACCUGUAUUAUAAACGAUAUAACACGCAUUAUUUUACUUAUUUUAGUAUAAACAGUUUGUAUACCGUCAUUAUUAGAUAAUUUAGGAGAGAAUAUUAUUGAAAUCAUAUUAUUGAGUAUAUUAGAUCAAGGUGCAGCUUAUAAAUAAGUAAAUAUGGGUUACAAUAAAAUUUAUUUAAUAUGGAUUGGAUAUUUAAAUAUAUUUAUGAAGGAGGAUUUAAUUGUAAAGGGAGAAGUAGUAAGAUUUUUUGAUAAAAGCUCUAAAUUAU
rnacentral:rRNA from 1 species